rnacentral:sRNA from 1 species
GAGAAUUGAAGAACUGAAUCAGAGCCUGGCUGCCCAGGAGAUGCUUGUAGAACAGCUGUCUCGGGAGAAACAACAACUGCUACAUCUGUUGGAGGAGCCAACUAGCAUGGAAGUGC